GAUGAACGCUAGCGGCAGGCCUAAUACAUGCAAGUCGAGGGGUAGAGUUAGCUUGCUAACUUGAGACCGGCGCACGGGUGCGUAACGCGUAUGCAACCUACCUUUAUCUGGGGGAUAGCCCGAAGAAAUUCGGAUUAACACCGCAUAAAAUCACAGUAUCGCAUGAUACAAUGAUCAAAUAUUUAUAGGAUAAAGAUGGGCAUGCGUGUCAUUAGUUAGUUGGCGGGGUAACGGCCCACCAAGACCACGAUGACUAGGGGAUCUGAGAGGAUGACCCCCCACACUGGUACUGAGACACGGACCAGACUCCUACGGGAGCAGCAGUAAGGAAUAUUGGUCAAUGGAGGCAACUCUGAACCAGCCAUGCCGCGUGCAGGAAGACGGCCCUCUGGGUUGUAAACUGCUUUUAUUCGGGAAUAAACCUAUCUACGUGUAGAUAGCUGAAUGUACCGAAGGAAUAAGGAUCGGCUAACUCCGUGCCAGCAGCCGCGGUAAU
rnacentral:rRNA from 1 species